AUUGAACGCUGGCGGCAGGCCUAACACAUGCAAGUCGAACGGUAACAGGAAACAGCUUGCUGUUUCGCUGACGAGUGGCGGACGGGUGAGUAAUGUCUGGGAAACUGCCUGAUGGAGGGGGAUAACUACUGGAAACGGUAGCUAAUACCGCAUAACGCCGCAAGACCAAAGAGGGGGACCUUCGGGCCUCUUGCCAUCGGAUGUGCCCAGAUGGGAUUAGCUAGUAGGUGGGGUAACGGCUCACCUAGGCGACGAUCCCUAGCUGGUCUGAGAGGAUAACCAGCCACACUGGAACUGAGACACGGUCCAGACUCCUACGGGAGGCAGCAGUGGGGAAUAUUGCACAAUGGGCGCAAGCCUGAUGCAGCCAUGCCGCGUGUAUGAAGAAGGCCUUCGGGUUGUAAAGUACCUUCAGCGGGGAGGAAGGGAGUAAAGUUAAUACCUUUGCUCAUUGACGUUACCCGCAGAAGAAGCACCGGCUAACUCCGUGCCAGCCGCCGCCGUAA
rnacentral:rRNA from 1 species